ensembl:lncRNA
GCCAGGAAAAAAAAAAACUUACAACCACCUUAAGAGAGCAUUCUUCAAGAAAUGUGUGUGCUUGCACGUGGGUGUUUAUGGCUGUUUGCACGUGUGUGUUUGUUUAUAUGUGUGCGUAGGUCUCGCUUGGGUGGCUGCCCUGUAUGUGUGUGGCUGCGCCUCCGUAAGUUGUGGGAAUUCCUUUAUUUAUUUGUUUAAAACAAUUCCCUCCCACCUUUCCCCUCACAAAAAAAAGAACGGGGGGGGGGAGGCCAAGGCGGUUUUUAUUAUUAAAAUUUAAAGGAAAAUAUUCAACAACUAAAAACAGGGAGUAUACAAAUAUUAAAACCACCACCGUGAAACCCGCCUUGGAUGAACCUGGCAAAUCCAGCCGAUAUUCGGAAGGCCGGGCCUCUUUCUGAGGGAACGAAGCGCCCCCGCCCCCCAAUUUUACCUCACACUUCUCUACCCCCAGAACACAUGUCCAAAGUCUGGAAACCACUUCCCCGCAUUUACCCGCCUUCUUCUUCCUCCUCCUGAGCGUUGAGCUCCUGCCAUUCAAGUGAAGGGCGACGGAAAAGGAGAGAGAGAGAGAGAAAACGAAAGAGAAGAGAGAGGGAAGGAUGUGCGCAUGCGCGCUCGCCUCUCAGUUGGUGCCGGAGGACAUACUCGCCAAGCCUGGGACCGGAAGUGGCGCAGGCCGAUCUAGGCUUCAAGCGUGGCGCGACUCGCUGCUCCGUCUUCCUGGGCGUGACGCAAAAAGGGACGGAAGCCGAGGAGGGUGGCGGAAAGGCUGGACGAGGGAGGCGGAAGAAGAACGUGGGGGAAGCGCCGGUGGAGGCGCAGCCGGGAUGGAAACGACAGACCGAGUCGACGCGUCGUAUACCAACAGCGUUCAAGUCUUGGAUAUGCCGAAGAAGAAGAAAAAGAAGAAAAAGAAAAGGAAAUUGGAGGCCCUUGAGAGAGAAACGGGCCAGCCGCCUGAGGAUGCCCCCCCUCUUCAUUCGCCCGUUUCUUCCGAUCCUCCCCCCUUAGUUUCUUGGCAAAUAGAUUCAGAGGAAAACCCGGUCCCUCGUAAGAAAUCUAAGAAGAAGACAGCCGAUAAAGAGAUCUCUGACUCCCAGGAUGACAGUCCUUGGAUUGCACUGGAGAAAGAGCUAAAUAGCGAGGUUAGAGUCGAUCUUGGGCACAAGAAGAAAAAGAAGAGGAAACGUCGGUCAAGCGAACAGGACGGCGUCCGUGAAAUCUGUGUCCCCGAGAAUCCAGAAGUAGCCACCCAUUUCCCUGAAGCGACUGAUGUGGAAGUUGCCGAGCAAGGAUAUGAGAGCCUUCCCUUAAAGAAAAAGAAGAAGAAAAAGAAGAAGAAGAAAGCAAAAGAAUUGUUAGCAGAGGAGGCAGAACGCAGCGAAAUCUCGAGCCUGAUGACAAACGGGAAGGCUGAUUCUGCAGGGGCGCAAAACCCUAAUCAGACUGACCACAGCGAUGCUGAAGGCAGCAUGGAGCUUUUCUCAUCCCCUCUGCUACUCCCCGAAACACAGCAGGACCCUCUUUUUGAGGAAGAGGAGAGUGGGGCGCCAGGAUCGGACCCUCCCGAUGUGGCCAACAGCUCCGUGGCGCCAAAGAAGGCGCGUAAGCGGAAAAAGAACCGGCGCAAACCACCCCGUGCCAAGGGUUCGCGCGCUAACGAAGACGACCUUGCCGCAGAGGAGAAUAACGCUCGGGAUGCGUUGAGUCCGACGUUGUGUGAGGAAAACCAUGGGUACAUUCUUGAUCCUGGAAAGGCAGGCUUGGGGAGUGGGGAAUAUAGAAUUUAUUUUUUAAUCUUUGACAUGGCAUGAUUCAGUUGUUUAAAGCAAUUCUUUUACAGUGGGACCCCCUUAUACACGGGAUCAGUUUCCACUUAUUUGAUUAUUCACGGUCUGAAAAUAUUAAAAUAUUAAAAGAAAUAUCAUAGAUAUAUCAUAGAAAUAAAUACAGUGAUACCUCGACUUAUAAACGUCUC